UUGGCGACUAUCAUAUGGGGCUCCUUCAAUGUCUGCUGAACUUCUGCGGUCAUGAAAAUGCCGAUUUGAUCAUCCCAUUGACAAUCUACCGAACUCUGAUCUAGAUACAAUUGUAAUAGGUGCUUAGCUGAUGUGAACUUAUUUUUUAUGUCUUUUCAAUUUGCGUAUGUGAAAUAUGUUAUUGACAUGUGAAAGCUCUAGUCCAUGUAAGAGUAGGUUGUUCUUAGUCCAUUCAUGGAAAGGAGAUGGCAUUUUGCUGAGGAUUGGUAAGUCACAAAUAGUGCAUCGUCAACAUCCUUCUAAAAAGUGCUGCAAUAGAAACAAUUGUUUGUUGCUAGAUUAGGAAAAGGUUCAAUCCAUGGAUAACAUGUACAUACAGAAAAGUCAUUACAUAUACAAUUACAAAUACAUGCACGCGCAAACAUGUCCAUCUAAAAAGCCAGUUACUUGGCUAUCUAUCUAUCUUUUUUCGUACACAUAUAGAAUGGGGAUGAAUAUUUGGCACAAAUGCACAUGCACCCACACAAAGGCGCACAAGCAUGCAUGUUUGGUUGUGGGCACGCUCUCAUACACACGUGACCUUUUUAUAUCCUCCUUGUCAAGAGAGUUACAUAAGCUUUCAUAAUGCCUUUGCACUUGGACUCCGCUUAUUGUGGCUUUUUCCUUGUCUUCUUCUUCAUAGAAUAGUGCUUUUGUAAUCUUCUAGGAAGUCUUGUUCUGCCUACAAGUUGAAAGAAAUCACCGGUAGUGGGAUUUUUGCUGCCAAAGGGGAAGAUUUAUUGGAGCCUGGAAGUGCCAACCCUGCUUCAAAUAACAAAACAGGAUUAAAGAUGUACCAGGUCCUCCACAAUAUUGCGGUCGCUGAAUACUUUCGUGAUGGCUGUUCAGAUCCAAGAAGAUUGCUUGAAGUACUUAAUAACGUCAAUAUGUGGCAGUCCUUCAAACACACUCUCUUCAGAAUAUGCGAUCUACUCUAAGCUAUUGAGUUUUCAAUCAGUCUUGAUAUGUUGUGUUGAACACAGUGGGAGUAGGCGAGAGGGAAACACUGAUAGUUGCUUCUAAAUUAUCAUCUAAACAUCGAUGAAGGAGAUGAAUUACUUUGAACUUUGUCAUUCGUGUGGCAAAUGUUGAUGAAUGUAUUUCAUUUAUAUAUCAUUAUAAUAUUUUGAUGUUAUUAA